CAGGUGUAGGUAGAGAGCACAUUCUUGUUAUCUUUGAAAGAAAUGUACUCUCUUCAAUGCCUGGC
rnacentral:pre_miRNA from 1 species